AGGUAAAUUAAAAUUAAUGUUUAACAAUUUCGGCUCCAGUUUACUUAUAUACGAAACAAUAUUUAUUUUAAUAUUUUUAAUAAUUCACACAAUUCGACAUGCCAGCUUUUCCACACUCAUCCCCUGCUAUAAAGCCUGAAAAUUUCGCUGAUCUGGUAGCUAGGCUAUGUCUGGAGAAAUUUGACCAGCUUCCGAACAAGGGCAAACCGAUGUCCGGUAAACAGUGGACGCUGUUGUCAGGCGUCGUACAGGCUGAGAAUGACUCGAGACCGCCGAAAGUCGUCUCUCUGGCUACUGGCACCAAGUGCAUUGGUGCUAGUAAGCUGUGUAGCAAAGGUACUGUGGUCAAUGACAGUCAUGCCGAGGUCUUGGUACGCAGAGGUCUGUUGCGGUAUUUCAUCCAAGAAAUCGAAUCGGCUCGUAAAGGCAGUCCGUCGAUAUUUGUACAGGACUCAGCGCUUGCUGAUGAGGAUUGCCGACCGGAAAACCAUUCGGAUAGCUCAUGUCCUCUAACUUUACGUCCAGGCGUCACUUUUCACUUUUUCUCUAGUCACACGCCGUGCGGUGACGCGUCGAUAUUUCCAAAAAACGUGGGUAAACGGGCGGCCGUAGACGACGACGACGGUAUCGGACCGGAAGCAAAAAGACCCAAAAUCGACGACGCCAACGACAUACAUCGGACUGGAGCUAAAUGUCUUAGCGUUGAGACGAGGCAGGACCCUCAACUUCCGGGCGCUGCAUAUCAUGUGGUCGGAGCGGUCAGGACCAAACCGGGUCGAGGAGACCGGACGUUGUCCGUCUCGUGUAGCGACAAAUUGCUCAGGUGGCAUUUGUCGGGCGUACAGGGAGCUUUGUUGUCGCUGCUCAUCGAACCGGUGUACUUGUCUUCGCUGACCAUUGGCGGCGGUUGUCCAUACUCUGAGCCGGCCCUGCGCCGAGCAAUUGUUGAACGGGCGAACUGCCCCGACGAAGAUCGAUCGCCAUCGAUUCCACUGCUCAGACUGGCACGUUCUGCUUUGGAAUUCGAAUACGCCAAACAUCGCGUGGCCGCUAGUUGCAAGCCGUGUCCGUCCAGUGUGGUCUGGUGGGAAGACGAUUGCGGCGGUGGUGGGGUAGGUGGCACGAACGUGGCAGGGGGUCGUCAUGAAGUGUUGGUAAACGGCCGCAAACAGGGCGCGACGAAAAAGGCGGUGGACGGAAAGGCGACGGGUUCGUCGGCGUUGUGCAAAAAAUCGCUGUUCGACGCGUGCCGACAUCUUUUGGCCGGCGAUGGAGGAACCGAAGGCCGACGGCAAGUCAGCUACGCACAGGCCAAGUCGGGCGCCACGUUGUAUCGACGCCGAUGGGCCGCCAUUAGGCGUCAGUUGGGCUGCUGGACGGUGAAACCAGAAGAUUUAUUGGACUUUACAUGACAUGCGGUAAUGAUCUACAAAUGUUUUUUAGCAACCUCAAAUUUCAUCAAGUAAAACUGUCAUCACGCAAUACCGAACGAGUAACAACUGACCAAAAGAUUCGACUGACAGUAGACGUGCGUGAUGAUCUGUACGGUGGACGAUGGAAGGUUAUCAUCAUGUAGAUGACGUACAGAUUACUGCGGGAUAGAUAUAACAAUAAACACACGAAGUUUUUAAUAACAUUUAUAGUAAUAUUUUUGAGCAUUGU
rnacentral:misc_RNA from 1 species